rnacentral:rRNA from 1 species
UGCCGGAGUGCUUGCACUUUGGCAGACUGAGUGGCGGACGGGUGAGUAACACGUAAACAACCUGCCUCAAAGAGGGGGACAACAGUUGGAAACGACUGCUAAUACCGCAUAAGCCCACGGGUCGGCAUCGACCUGAGGGAAAAGGAGUGAUCCGCUUUGAGAUGGCCUCGCGUCCGAUUAGCUAGUUGGUGAGGUAACGGCCCACCAAGGCGACGAUCGGUAGCCGGACUGAGAGGUUGAACGGCCACAUUGGGACUGAGACACGGCCCAGACUCC